GGCGCUAUAGUGUAGUGGCUAUCACAACGGAUUCUGACUCACUGAUGUUCCGUUAACCCAGGUUCGAACCCUGGUAGCGCCU